UUCACCGCGAGGUGAAAUCUGAAGGAAGCGGCAAGCAAACCACUGGCCUGACGAACAGAAACCGCAUACGAGGCGUCUAUAGUGGGUGAGGUAGCCAAUAUUGCUAAAGCCCAGUACUUACACGGAAACUAUGAACGUAGAUGCGGCAGGCAUAAGUGGGACAAAUUCGUCU
rnacentral:ncRNA from 1 species